GAUGAACGCUGGCGGCGUGCUUAACACGUGCAAGUCGAACGGAAAGGCUCCUGCUUGCAGGGGUACUCGAGUGGCGAACGGGUGAGUAACACGUGGGUGUUCUGCCCUGCACUUCGGGAUAAGCCUGGGAAACUGGGUCUAAUACCGGAUAGGACGUUGGUUUGGAUGCCAUUGUGGAAAGUUUUUCGGUGUGGGAUGAGCUCGCGGCCUAUUAGCUUGUUGGUGGGGUAAUGGCUUACCAAGGCGUCGACGGGUAGCCGGCCUGAGAGGGUGUACGGCCACAUUGGGACUGAGAUACGGCCCAGACUCCUACGGGAGGCAGCAGUGGGGAAUAUUGCACAAUGGGCGCAAGCCUGAUGCAGCGACGCCGCGUGGGGGAUGACGGCCUUCGGGUUGUAAACUCCUUUCGCUAGGGACGAAGCGCAAGUGACGGUACCUGGAGAAGAAGCACCGGCUAACUACGUG
rnacentral:rRNA from 1 species